rnacentral:rRNA from 1 species
GAUUAACGCUGGCGGCGUGCCUAACACAUGCAAGUCGAACGAGGUAGCAAUACCUAGUGGCAGACGGGUGAGUAACGCGUGGUCAACCUACCGUUGAGUGGGGGAUAACUAGCCGAAAGGUUAGCUAAUACCGCAUACGUCUCCGAGUGGCAUCACUUGGCGAUAAAAGGAGCAAUCCGCUCGAUGACGGGACCGCGUCCCAUUAGCUAGAUGGUGGGGUAACGCCUACCANGGCUCCGAUGGGUAGCUGGUUUGAGAGAGCGACCAGCCACACUGGGACUGAGAAACGGCCCAGACUCCUACGGGAGGCAGCAGUGAGGAAUUUCCGCAAUGGCGCAAGCCUGACGGAGCGACGCCGCGUGAGUGAUGAAGGCCUU